GACCACAGUCUCAUAAACUGCUGACGCCAGUGAGAGCCACAGUCCGUCUGAUGGCUAGUCGACCAUCCACCGAUUGGUAGGAGGAUGGCGGCGAGACAACCUGGAUCGGGGGAGGCUAACGGCCGCUGGCCUAUGCUAAUCCCGAGCGGAGUGCCCCUGGAGUGAUCCUGGGAACACCCGUGUAGAGCGCGCCAAGGUGUCGGUGGUGCUCGGGGUCAUACCCGAGACCCACUUAAGGUACGUGCCGGCCCCGAUCGAAAGAUUGCCUUUAACUAGAGUGCCUACCACACGAAGGUUAUGGGGGCGUCGAUUCAAGACGCUGGCAGCUCCUAAAAGACAUACCUCCCGGCAACCCUGAGGGUCCGUGGAGACAAUUGAUGGAGGGACACCCAAGUGGUCUCCCSCCUCAAGUCUAUGUGUCUUUUGAGGGUUCGUCCGG
rnacentral:rRNA from 1 species